rnacentral:rRNA from 1 species
AUUGAACGCUGGCGGCAGGCUUAACACAUGCAAGUCGAGCGGGGAAAGGUAGCUUGCUACCUGACCUAGCGGCGGACGGGUGAGUAAUGCUUAGGAAUCUGCCUAUUAGUGGGGGACAACAUCUCGAAAGGGAUGCUAAUACCGCAUACGUCCUACGGGAGAAAGCAGGGGACCUUCGGGCCUUGCGCUAAUAGAUGAGCCUAAGUCGGAUUAGCUAGUUGGUGGGGUAAAGGCCUACCAAGGCGACGAUCUGUAGCGGGUCUGAGAGGAUGAUCCGCCACACUGGGACUGAGAAACGGCCCAGAAUCCUACGGGAGGCAGCAGUGGGGAAUAUUGGACAAUGGGGGGAACCCUGAUCCAGCCAUGCCGCGUGUGUGAAGAAGGCCUUUUGGUUGUAAAGCACUUUAAGCGAGGAGGAGGCUACCGAGAUUAAUACUCUUGGAUAGUGGACGUUACUCGCAGAAUAAGCACCGGCUAACUCUGUG